rfam:Hamster elongation factor 2 gene, complete cds and flanking regions.
ACACAUGAUGACUGAAAUUCUUCACUUUGACCUGAUGUCUGUUGAAGAAACUCUGUGUCUGAGC